ACGAGGCUGCGCGAUGCGACAGGAGUUUGCAUCCCCGGGGCCUUAUCGAUCCGAACGGGAGCUGUACCUGGAUCGGCCCGUGGGCCUUUCCAAACGGCGCCCACCUACGCUGUAGGUUUCCCGGGAUCGAUACCUCCAUCGGUCGAGGUGGCUUCGUC
rnacentral:other from 1 species